GUGAGAAUCGAAAAAACACAGGCUGUGAUAAAUCAGAAAGCUUUGUAUAAUACAAACAAUAAAAAAGGGUUGGACAUCUUCAGGAAGCAGGAAAAACUCCAGCAGCUAAAACUGAGAACAGUGUGUUUAGGAGGCAAUGAAUACACCAUUCUGGCUGAGGCAAAAAACUUGUCUGGUGACAUAGUAAAAGACAAGACUGGAAGGUUUACAAGAAGAGUCUACCAGUCCUGUAAUAUCUGGAUGUCUGCCUGGGUCCCUGACUGAGCUGCUGUCCUUCGAGCUGAAUAGAUGAUAUGAGCUCAUCCACACUGGGCUAUGCUGGGUCACUUCUACUUCUCCAGCUGGCACAAAUGAUCACUGACCAGAACCAAAUCCAGCCGGCCGCUGGAGGAAGAAGCCCUCCUCUCAGCUUUAUAACAAGAUCAGGUGAUGCUCAUGACUUCAGUAUGUGGACGGGCCAUGAAGCCUUGACUAAGGCCACCUACUAAAGGGUUAGGGUGGUAUGGUGCCACCCCAAAACAGAGUCAAGGUCUCGCUAAGUUGCCCAGGCUGGUGGUGUACUUUUGGCCUUAAGGAAUCCUCCUGCCUCAGCCUCUCGAAGUGUUGGGAUUACAGGCAUGAGCCAAUGGCCUGGCCUGUCUUUCUUAUUCAUGGUACAAUUAACGUGUUUUCAAAAGAAAUUGUGGUGGCAAUUGCCAAAUAAAUUUACAAAUUCAUAAAACUUGUAGUUGAAACAUUGGCACAUAAAUAACCUGAAUGGAAAAAGUGAGGGCCGUG